GCAUACGAUACAGUUACAGGGGAGGUAAUGACGUUGCUAACGUAAAAUGUUAUUUUCGCGACGUCAAACUAUGACAUAUCGGGAAAAAAUGCAGUUUUCGACUGAUUUUUAUCAUUCAAACUGAUUUGAUUUGAAAACGAGUGCAUGGGCCCCUAUUUUUUAAAACUACAUUUUGUUUCAUUUUGCAGGAAGAUUAUGUGGACCAAAUU
rnacentral:lncRNA from 1 species